rnacentral:rRNA from 1 species
UACGAAGGGGGCUAGCGUUGCUCGGAAUUACUGGGCGUAAAGCGCACGUAGGCGGCUUUCUAGGUCGGGGGUGAAAUCCUGGAGCUCAACUCCAGAACUGCCUUCGAUACUGGAGAGCUUGAGUCCGGGAGAGGUGAGUGGAACUGCGAGUGUAGAGGUGAAAUUCGUAGAUAUUCGCAAGAACACCAGUGGCGAAGGCGGCUCACUGGCCCGGGUACUGACGC